rnacentral:rRNA from 1 species
UUCCAGACUCCUACGGGAGGCAGCAGUGAGGAAUAUUGGUCAAUGGGCGGAAGCCUGAACCAGCCAAGUCGCGUGAGGGAAGAAGGCCCUGCGGGUCGCAGACCUCUUUGGACGGGGAGCAAGGCCGCCGACGUGUCGGCGGAAGGAGAGUACCCGUAGAAAAAGCAUCGGCUAACUCCGUGCCAGCAGCCGCGGUAAUACGGAGGAUGCGAGCGUUAUCCGGAUUUAUUGGGUUUAAAGGGUGCGUAGGCGGUCCGUUAAGUCAGCGGUAAAAUGGCGGGGCUCAACCCCGUCGAGCCGUUGAAACUGGCAGACUUGAGUUGGCGAGAAGUACGCGGAAUGCGCGGUGUAGCGGUGAAAUGCAUAGAUAUCGCGCAGAACUCCGAUUGCGAAGGCAGCGUACCGGCGCCAGACUGACGCUGAGGCACGAAAGCGUGGGGAUCGAACAGGAUUAGAUACCCGAGUACG